rnacentral:rRNA from 1 species
UGGGGAAUUUUGGACAAUGGGCGCAAGCCUGAUCCAGCAAUGCCGCGUGCAGGAUGAAGGCCUUCGGGUUGUAAACUGCUUUUGUACGGAACGAAAAGCCCUGGGUUAAUACCCUGGGGUCAUGACGGUACCGUAAGAAUAAGCACCGGCUAACUACGUGCCAGCAGCCGCGGUAAUACGUAGGGUGCAAGCGUUAAUCGGAAUUACUGGGCGUAAAGCGUGCGCAGGCGGUUUUGUAAGACAGAGGUGAAAUCCCCGGGCUCAACCUGGGAACUGCCUUUGUGACUGCAAGGCUAGAGUACGGCAGAGGGGGAUGGAAUUCCGCGUGUAGCAGUGAAAUGCGUAGAUAUGCGGAGGAACACCGAUGGCGAAGGCAAUCCCCUGGGCCUGUACUGACGCUCAUGCACGAAAGCGUGGGGAGCAAACAGGAUUAGAUACCCUGGUAGUCCACGCCCUAAACGAUGUCAACUGGUUGUUGGGUCUUAACUGACUCAGUAACGAAGCUAACGCGUGAAGUUGACCGCCUGGGGAGUACGGCCGCAAGGUUGAAACUUAAAUGAAUUGACGGGGUCAUAGCUGUUUCCU